rnacentral:rRNA from 1 species
GUGCCAGCCGCCGCGGUAAUACGGAGGGUGCAAGCGUUAAUCGGAAUUACUGGGCGUAAAGCGCGCGUAGGCGGCUUGGUAAGUCGAUUGUGAAAGCCCCGGGCUCAACCUGGGAAUUGCAGUCGAGACUGUCAGGCUAGAGUGUGGGAGAGGGCAGUGGAAUUCCCGGUGUAGCGGUGAAAUGCGUAGAUAUCGGGAGGAACAUCAGUGGCGAAGGCGACUGCCUGGCCCAACACUGACGCUGAGGUGCGAAAGCGUGGGUAGCAAACAGGAUUAGAUACCCCCGUAGUCC